rnacentral:rRNA from 1 species
UGGGGAAUUUUGCGCAAUGGGCGAAAGCCUGACGCAGCGACGCCGCGUGAGGGAUGAAGGUCUUCGUGAUCGUAAACCUCUGUCGAGAGGGAUUAAACAUACGGAUGUUAAUACCACUCGUAUGUGACUUAACCUCUGGAGGAAGCCCCGGCUAACUACGUGCCAGCAGCCGCGGUAAUACGUAGGGGGCAAGCGUUACUCGGAUUCAUUGGGCGUAAAGCGAAUGUAGGCGGUUUUGUAAGUCGGGGGUGAAAUCCCUCAGCCUAACUGAGGAAUGGCCUUCGAUACUGCAAAACUUGAGGACAGGAGAGGAAAGUGGAAUUCCCGGUGUAGCGGUGGAAUGCGUAGAUAUCGGGAGGAACACCAGAGGCGAAGGCGGCUUUCUGGACUGUUCCUGACGCUUAGAUUCGAAAGCCAGGGGAGCAAACAGG